UGGGGCGUAGCCAAGUCUGGUUAAGGCAAUGGUCUGAUAAGCCAUCAUGCGCGGGUUCGAAUCCCGCCGUCCCUAC
rnacentral:tRNA from 1 species